rnacentral:rRNA from 1 species
GUGGUCAUAUUUCAUGGGCGCAGCCUGAUGCAGCCAUGCCGCGUGUGUGAAGAAGGCCUUCGGGUUGUAAAGCACUUUCAGUCAGGAGGAAAGGGUGGUGGUUAAUACCCGUCAUGUGUGACGUUACUGACAGAAGAAGCACCGGCUAACUCCGUGCCAGCAGCCGCGGUAAUACGGAGGGUGCGAGCGUUAAUCGGAAUUACUGGGCGUAAAGCGUACGCAGGCGGUUUGUUAAGCGAGAUGUGAAAGCCCCGGGCUCAACCUGGGAACUGCAUUUCGAACUGGCAAACUAGAGUGUGAUAGAGGGUGGUAGAAUUUCAGGUGUAGCGGUGAAAUGCGUAGAGAUCUGAAGGAAUACCGAUGGCGAAGGCAGCCACCUGGGUCAACACUGACGCUCAUGUACGAAAGCGUGGGGAGCAAACGGGAUUAGAUACCCCGGUAGUCCACGCCGUAAACGAUGUCUACUAGAAGCUCGGAGCCUCGGUUCUGUUUUUCAAAGCUAACGCAUUAAGUAGACCGCCUGGGGAGUACGGCCGCAAGGUUAAAACUCAAAUGAAUUGACGGGGGCCCGCACAAGCGGUGGAGCAUGUGGUUUAAUUCGAUGCAACGCGAAGAACCUUACCUACACUUGACAUACAGAGAACUUACCAGAGAUGGUUUGGUGCCUUCGGGAACUCUGAUACAGGUGCUGCAUGGCUGUCGUCAGCUCGUGUUGUGAGAUGUUGGGUUAAGUCCCGCAACGAGCGCAACCCCUAUCCUUAGUUGCUAGCAGGUAAUGCUGAGAACUCUAAGGAGACUGCCGGUGAUAAACCGGAGGAAGGUGGGGACGACGUCAAGUCAUCAUGGCCCUUACGUGUAGGGCUACACACGUGCUACAAUGGCGCAUACAGAGUGCUGCGAACUCGCGAGAGUAAGCGAAUCACUUAAAGUGCGUCGUAGUCCGGAUUG